CGUAAAAGGCUGUGUGACUCAGCUUCAUUUAUUAGAUAUCGGUGGGAGUGAAACUCUCACACAUGCUUUUGAGCACAAUGCUGGAUUUACAUUCAAAAAGUACGAAAUCUGGACUGCAUAUCGACAAGACGGAUAGUCUCAGGAGUGAUUUGUCCGAGGAUACAAGAUCUUCGUCUAAUUUGAUCCCGUGCACCUUUGGAAGAACAUCUACAGCAGCUUCCACAACAACGGCAGUAUGGUGCUGCCCAGGUGUCCUGGGGCUGAAGAGCCUGAGAGGAUGAGGACAGGCCGAUUCUCUAGCCGGAAGGUACUGGCCAGGUAGGAAAACCACAAGUCAGUCAAGGCCGGCUACAAGUUGACCAAGGAGGUGCUGGUGGGCUCUUCGAUCGAGAAGCAGAGCGUCGGGCUCAUAAUGGCGGUCGUCAACCCCAACACGGUCGCAUGGGCAAGAAGGAACACAGGGACACACAGGGCCGACAUCCUGGAGAUGAUCCCGAGGACAAAGGAGACGGCCCGGGCGGUCCUCAAGCAGCCAUCUCUCGCCAUGGCUCACAUGGCAUCCUUUGGAAUGUCGCUGUGGGACUCCCUGAUAUGCAGGAAGCACAAGAGCACCUGCUGGAGUUCCUGGCGGUCCCUCUUCAACUGUUGGGUGCAAACUUCUCCAAGGAUGUGAUUUCAGAAGCGAAGAAAAACAAGGCCUUGGAGUGGCCGGCCAUCAGGAAAUGGAGCAGUGUCGAGGACGGCAGAGAGGAGAUGGGGAGGAACAGGGACUUGUACAACUCGAGGUGGCCAGAAAAUGCAAGGCAUAGAAAAAGGCUAUGUGAUUGUUGAAAGACGAGGCUCACAUCCUGGUAACACCACAUCGAUUAUUUGCACUGCCUGAAUUAUCGGACUUUCAUAUGCAUUUUAUAUUCAUGUUUAUUUAGAUUUCAUACUUGCACGUCACUUUUGAGAUUUUAACUUAUCCUGCACUGUAAAGGGAUGCCCCACAAUUUCAUUGUUUAACUGUAUAAUGAUAAUAAAGGGCUAUUCUAUUCUAUAAUAAGUUGUGAUUGUACAUAGAAUGUAUUAAUAAUCUAUUUACAUAUUAUUUAUAAUUGAUUCUGCAUGUUUUCCUCAAGUAUUAAGUUUCUGAUGUUAAAUUGAGUGAUUUAUCAGCUGAUGAAUUUUUUUUCUAUUUACUGCAAAUUAAGUUGCUAUUU